rnacentral:miRNA from 10 species
UGUGUGUGUGUGUAUGUGUGCAUGUGCAUGUAUGUAUAUAUACAUAUAUAU